CUCCUCCUCGAUGCUCUCUGCCAUCCCCUACCAUCUCCUCCUCAAUCAGACCCACGGCAAACCUACAGCAAAGCAUUGCAUCGCAUACAAACCAAAUCCACUUUUAUUUUCUUCAGCUCCACUCACACACAACUCUCAAACUCUCAUUCUUCUCAAGCUUCCUAAGAACCCCAGGUCCAAAAAUUCCCACCACAGACCCAAUUUUCGUGUUCUAGCUUCUGCAAACCCAAAUGGGUCUGAUGGGUUUUCAUGGCUAAGUCUAACUCGGUCGGUCCGGUAUGUCUCAGACCGGCUAUGGUCGAAACUCGGCGAGUCAGGGAAGAAGGAAAUUGGGUUUGCUUGGAAGGGGUUAGCAAAGGUUGGGGUGAGUCGGAACGGUUUAGGAUUGAGUUAGUGCCUGAAUUUUUGAGUUAGAAUCGGUGGGAGCGUUGGAAGCUGUGAAGCUUCAUUGCAAGAUUGAUAAAGUUGCAGGAGUUCUUGAGACUAAUCGUCCAAAGGCAAAGAAUGCUCUUUACCAAGCAACUAUCAAGCGAGGGGACUUCCUAUUGAACCGGAUCUAGAAGCUGUCUCGUGUGGUUGAUCUGUGAAGCAUUUUUUUUUUUUUUUGUUUUGGAAACAGUGCCAAAAUUUGCUGUCACUUCCCAAGGAUAGGAAAAAAUGCUCACGGGUAGUUAGUUAUUAAACUCAUUAGGAUUAUUUUAGCAAUAUUUAGUCCACUAUUUGUAUCUGAAUGCUAUAUCAAAAGUGUUGAUGUGAAUUUUUGUAGCUUUGUAUUGGAGAUGUGUUAA